ensembl:lncRNA
GAUUUAAAGUGUCUCCCCCGUGAUAGGUCAUUCUGCAGCAGAAAACUGCAUAUUUAACCAGUUUUGUGGAACUGUGUGUUUUUUAUUACUAAAUUCCAGUUUUGAUAGAACAGGUGGGAAGAACUGGAUUUUGGAAUUUUGAAAUAUUUUUUAACUUUUCAGUGCUGUGCACUAGAAUUCUGAGGGAAUUUUCUAUCCUGGGAGAGCAGAGGCUGUCUCCUUGCAAUCACGUGUUGUGCUUCUGUACCCUGGCUAUGAGGGAAGGAUUACGCUCUUUGCAGUCAGUUUUUGGACUGUUGCAGACGCUAAAUAGGUGGAGGUGGUGUUUAAAAUCAUGUAAUGGAGCCUAAGAUUUCACUUGUUCUUAAAUGAAUAUAGGUAAGUAGAGAAAUAUAGUUCCAAUCCUGCCAAUGGCUCCAUGCAGGCAUACAAGUCUACCUAAAUGGAUCUUGUUAUAGGAUCAGGGUCAUAGUUACUGUGUUCUCUGCUGCCAGGGUCAAUUCGAACACUCUUUAAAACACAGGCUCUUGACAAUGACUAUAACACUUUUUUGCUUCUUACUAAAUUUUUGUUUGAAGAUGGUGUAUGCACAGAAACAGAUUAAAAACAACAAAUGCAGUACGUAGCCACUUACACAUUCAUCCCAAAAUACCUAGAGGCAGUAUUCCACAUUUUAAACUAAGGAUCUGCAAGACAUGAUGCAGAAUUUUUUGACUUACAAGAGAACCAUCAAAGUACAUGAAACCAUACUUCUAUCACGCUUGUAACUUAACUGGCUAAGGCUCAGAUCCUGUAAAGACUAACGCACACAUUUAACUUUAUGCACAUGUGUGGCCCUAUUGACUAGGAGACUAGUAACAUGCAUAAAGCUAAGCAUGCAUCUUAAGGAUUAGGGUCCAAAUCCGUUUGAAAAGUUCUCCAAGCUCUUAAUGGUAAGACUGAGUAUGCAUUGAACUUUUAGCUAUUCAAUACCCCUGAAAACAGAAGUUUAUCAUGUGAACACUAAAACUUAAUUUGAGUGUAAUUGACUGUGUCACUGAUAUUCAAAUCAAUUUUCUUGUUUGAGAACAAAUAGCUAAUGGGGUGGGGGGGAACCAAAAACCACAAAAAACCCUAAAACACACUACAUAUUGUUCACAUGCAAACUUUAGAAAGUUUGCCUUACAAUAGCUAAGAUGUUUUUAAACUUUUAUUACUGGGUAAGGUGGAUAAUAUGACAUCUAGUGGAUCAACAUAUUUAGAAUACCGGAGCUUUUGGGGCUCAGAAGGUCCUAUCAGCAGGUAUUAAACCAAUGUUCACUAGAAUGUUCACUAAAUCAAGAAAUAAUUAAUCCAUCAGCUUUUGAGCCAGCACCUGACAUUGGAACUUUUUUGGCCUGAAAGCUUCUAACUCAAGUGCCAAUCCUGUAAAUUCCUCUGGGUGAACUUGAGAACCUCAGUGGGUCAAAAUACUCAGGCAGAGGUCUGUCCAUUGGAUCCUGUACUGUAAAUUACUUUUUGACUAGUAAAGGGUGUUUUUUAUCUUUUCCACUUUCUAAGACCAAUACAGCUGCAAACAUUUUCUGCAGGUUACUGGGUAAUGCAUCGUCUUGAAAUUGAUCAACUGGUUUAACCAGAAGUAAACCUUACUAUAGUAUUAAUUGCUAUAAAGAAAACAUUCUUUGUUUAUAUUCUAACUCUGCUUUGUGCCUGAAAUUUUUUGGUGUUAUCCACUUUCUCUGUAAGUCUGAUUCUUGGUAUAUUUUUCACUGUUUAAAUUCUAUUUUCUGUUGAAUUAACUGUUAAAUUAAGAAUACAGGAGAAAUUUGACUCAUUUUAAAAAGUGCCCCAAUAUUUCUGUUUCACCAUGUAAUAGCAAAUAAGGUGCAAAAUAAAAAAAAAAACACUAAGGCA